rnacentral:tRNA from 1 species
UAUUCUGGUGUUAAAGCACGAAAAGGUUUGAUCUUUUAGGAAAUAGGAAACUCCUAUUGAAUAUAG